UAUCAUUGGUUUGAAAAAAAAAAAAAAAAACUUCAAAAGGGAAGGCCCAAGUUAAACAAAACAAACAAACCCAAAAGGUGUUACCACUGGCCCACCCAUUAAUCAACGAACCUAACUACCCUUAUACCAGACCUGGGUAUAGUAGGUGAAGGAGAAGAGAAGGUGUUUUCUUUCGGAGGGUUCGAAGAAAGACAAAGGUAGAUUCCAAGGAGAAGAAAAGAAGGUGUGUCUUUCGGAGGGUUCGAGGGUUUCAGCAAAGGGACUCUGGCAUCGCUUGAUGGAGAAUAGCCGAAGCCGAAUUGAAUCAACAAUGGAGAUCAAUGUUUUCAGAGGAGGAGUGGGUUUGCAUAAGCUGAAUAUUAGAUUAUUUCUCUCCUUCCAUAGAUGAUUGUCAAAGCUGGCCAAGGAACGUAGCACGAAGUGGGAUGACACGCAGCACCCAGUAACAAGAUGCCUCAGUUACAGCAGUAAUGAGUAAUCUGCCUUGGCCUGGACUUAGGUUCUUUUUCUUCCUCCCAUCUAUUCCUUCUUUUACACUUUUGUGGUUGAGUAUAAGAUUAUGACCGAAUAUUCUUCACUGAGUUUGUCAAGAAAGUAAAAAAGUUGAGGAAGAAAACUUGCGGACGAAUUGGCUUGCUUCUGACUUAGACUGUCCUUUAUCCCUCUGCUUAGAAUCAGCAAGAAAGAAAAUGGAGGAUAUUUAAAGUUGAGCUAACCUUUUUUUGGGAGAAUUUAUUGGAGUGGCAGUGGUUGUGUUGUUGUAUAGGUAGCUUGUUGGCAUUCCCUUAUGUUGCCUCUCAUUUUACAGUCUAUAUUUGUGAUCUGCAGCUAGUUUGAUUGUCAUUGGUUCAGUGGAAUUCGUAUGCAUUGGGCAUUGAGGUUGUGUCAUCUUCAAGGUUCCGAAUGAUGGAAGCUUAUAAAGCACUAUGCUUGAAAAUGAAGUGAUUCGAAAAAGGAGCUUGUGCUCGUAGUUGGCCAACAUGUUUAACCUUGGUGAAGCUUCACUCCCCAUCAUUCUCAUAGCUUGUGCCUGUAGUACUGCAACUUGAUCGAUGUCAUCUCUUACAAGUAAUUUGGCAUACGAAAACCCACUGCUCAUUCUGUCAGCGUCCACCUGAAUCUCAUUUGCUUCAACUGAAUUUAAAACCUUGUGGCAAAAAGGAAAAGGAGAAAAAAUGAAUUUGAGCCCCUGUGAAGGCUGUGAUGAAAAGAACUACAGACAACUAUAUGGCAGAAAAUGUAAGUAGAUGUAAUCUUGGUUUUUUAUGUACGUUAAAAGGCAAUAAAGUUACUUAAUUAAGGUCAUCUAUAUGAUCCUUCCUUAUGAGUAAAGAAAACACAUUUGAUGUCUUUUA